GGCUGGUUGGUGAAGUGGCCUAACACACUGGUUUUAGGAAGCCACGUCUGAUUAAGACGAUGAUUUACCCGCACCAGGAUUCCUGGGUUCGAAUCCCAGACUAGUCA